rnacentral:rRNA from 1 species
AUUGAACGCUGGCGGAAUGCUUUACACAUGCAAGUCGAACGGUAGAGGGGGCAACCCCUCGAGAGUGGCGAACGGGUGAGUAAUAUAUCGGAACGUGCCCAGUCGUGGGGGAUAACGUAGCGAAAGUUACGCUAAUACCGCAUACGAUCUAAGGAUGAAAGCGGGGGAUCGCAAGACCUCGCGCGAUUGGAGCGGCCGAUAUCAGAUUAGGUAGUUGGUGGGGUAAAGGCUCACCAAGCCAACGAUCUGUAGCUGAUCUGAGAGGACGACCAGCCACACUGGAACUGAGACACGGUCCAGACUCCUACGGGAGGCAGCAGUGGGGAAUUUUGGACAAUGGACGCAAGUCUGAUCCAGCCAUUCCGCGUGCAGGAUGAAGGCCCUCGGGUUGUAAACUGCUUUUGUACGGAACGAAAAGGUCUCUCUUAAUACGGGGGACUCAUGACGGUACCGUAAGAAUAAGCACCGGCUAACUACGUGCCAGCCGCCGCCGUAACAC